rnacentral:lncRNA from 1 species
AGAAAACCAAGUUUUACAAAACAUAGAAUCGAAACCUACCAUAUAUUCACAAAAACACUUAGAACACGUCAAGGUCCACACAAUCGAGACAACAAAUUGAAAUUGAGGAAUUUGAACCCACACCUAAUUCGUGAUCAAAGACGUUUAGAACUCGACUCAAUGACCAAGAAAUUGAAGCUCUCCGAAAACCACAACACCAUCGUUUUAAAAAAAAGAAAGAACAAAAAAGAGAACUAAGAAAAGGGGAAAAGGAGAACGUCCAAAAAAGAAAGAAAAAGAAAAAUAAUAAUAACACUAAAUAAAGAAAAUAAUUAUCUAAACCUUUAAAGCAAAACAUAAAAAAAAUGGUCCCACCAAACACUUUUGAGGACUCGAACCCAGGACCCAAGGGUACAUUAGCACACUACCAACCGCC